AAAAAAAAAAAAAAAAAAAAGGGACUUUACCCUCCCAUACCAGGAAGUCUAAAGUGGCAUCAGGCAACUGUGUUUUUUUCUCUAUCCCUUGGGCAGUCAAUAUUUAAUUUCUCACCAUCCCUUUCUUAAACUCCAAAAGUACAGGUUUUCAUCAGUCCAUGGCAGAAAUAUGCGGGAGGUACAAAGUGGGCUGUAGGAUGUGUCAUGGGUGGCUUUAUGGAGAAAGUGGCCCUUCAACUGUAGUUAUUGGUUUGGGAGCAAUUAAAAGAAGAGCUUGAGCCAAGAUGUGAAGCUGGGAAAACCCAGGUAAAUGGUUCACUUUGGCUGCAGAAUGCCAUGUUCACUGGGUGAAGGGGAGUGGUACAGCUAAGAUCCAGAAAGGUAGCAGGGAAUAGCAGGAAGUCCCACUGGUAUUUCAGACAUCCCUGGAGAAUGGAGGGGUGUAGGUGAGGAUCAGUAGUUGCUGUCUUAAAGAAGGCAGAGACACCUGCUCCUGGGAAUUUGGAAGGGGAAAAAUGUUGGAGAAGAAUAAUCUCAGUAGACAUCUUUCAUUCCUUCUAUUGGAAUAUCUUUUUUAUCCUUUCAGGUACAGGAUAGUCUUCCCAUCUCUCUGACAUUUUAGGAGAGGAAGACCUCUCUUAAAGUAUCCCAGGCAAAUGAGAAUCCAUCUGUUUUGGUGUCCUGAUCUUGACCAUUAUUCUUUUCUUUUAUUUUAUUCUAGUAUUUUCAUCUUGAUUUUCAUUAGUAAAAACUCUUAUGUAAAUACUAGCACUAUUGCCCAUCUUAUUCUAUCCAUCAAUAGGAAGCAGAGGGAACAAAUGUUUCAGUACAGGAGUGAAGGGCUUUGUGGCUGAAUGUUCUUUCCUUGGGGGCCAAUUGCUCCAAUGUUUUUGGAAACUCUGUGAGAGUUGUGUAUUCUGUGCUGAACCACAGACUUUUUAGAUCUGGAAAGAACCUACAAAAAUACAUACCUUCCAACUCAUUCAUUUAACGGAUGAGAAAACCUGGAUCCCACAGUUGUUAAAUGAGGCUCUCAUACUUUUAUUACCUCAAAGGAUAAAAAUCUCAAGGGUGUUCCUUGAGAAAGAGCAGAUGAGUGGCUCAGAACCGUUAUAGCUCUGCACAAAAGGGGGAAAGUCACCUCUUCUGGACUUGUUGCCCAGACAUUUUCCUGUUGUUUAAUUUCUCAGUUGUUUUAUACAACAAUUUCAAGUGUUUUUCAGAUACCCAAUUGAAUGUGCUAUUUUUGCUGCCUCUGCAGGAGAGUCUAUUAUGUCAUUCAAGCAAAUACUGCUCUUUCUCUAGUUCAAUCACUUGAAUUUUGGUGGGCUAUGAGGAUCCCAACAUUUUCCAUAUUAAAGAAUAUGGAUAUGUUCCCCCAUCAAAAUCCAUUUUGGGAGCUAUCCAACCUUAGUGAAAAUCCAAAUCACUGGAUGGUUUUUGAGCCUUAAAAGAUGGCUCUAUUUUGAAUGACAUCCUGGUAGCAUUUAUGUUAUAUUUGACACCCUGGAUAUUUAUUUGCUUCUUUACUGGUUUUGAUGGAUUGAAAAACACAAUGCAUCAGUAAAUAGGAGACAAUUGUGAUUAUUUAGAUAACCUAGUAAUGUGAGAGAUCAUUGGACCAUGAAAAAAAAGUGGAAAGUAAAUGAAAUUAUCUGUUUUCAUCAGCAAAACCAGACUCAGUUGGCAAACAGUGAUGAGAAAAUAGUCAAACCUUUUUCAUCUUCAGAGUCCUCUUAGAGUGCUGGUGAUUUUGUCUGGGAGCUUUUGCAGAUCAGCCAGCUCUGCCUUUUCGUUUUUGAUGGUCACUGAGUCCUUUUUUUUUCUUUUCCCCCAGAGGAGUGAUUUUCUGUGUGUUUUUGUUUUUGGAGUGUGUGUGUGUGUGUGUGUGUGUGUGUGUGUUUAACCAAUGUGCUUGCUGACAAAGCCAGACCCUGCCUUCUGGCUGCCUUAGAUUUCAUGGCAUAAAGUAGUGCUUCCUGGACGCUGAUGCUUGUGAGGUUGGAAAUGUUUUUCUGCUGGAAAAAGUCCAGAAAAGGUAGUUAUGUGUGGGCUGAUGUUAGUGCAAAAUGGAAAGUCUACUGUCUUCCAGUUAUAGAAGGGGAAGUGAGAAAUGAUGACAUGCACUUUGAACUCAGUAUCUUAGAAACGGGCCACCCUUGCUCUCCUCCCACAAUCCAAAUCAAUUUCUGAAAAAGCACUCUGGUCAGCCUGGAUAAUGCACCCAGCCCUGCUGAUGAGAACAGCGGAGGGAAAUGUCUCGAUGAACAGUUUCAUCUGGAUCACAAGGAUUUAGGAGGGACAGCUCCUAAAAUGGAGGGAGGUAGGACAGACUAAGAAGCCACAGAUUUUCCCUGCAAUGACAUUGAUCCUUUGGUGGGUAUUAAUUAGUUCACAGAAGAAACUCCAAAGAAAUUUGUGGAUUACUGGAUAGCAUGAAUUAUGGAGGAAAUAUUGCUGCUCUUCCUAAGUGAGAGACCUUUAGGGUGAAAUGACUCAUUUCCUCUGUUGAAUGGAAGCACCAUUCUUACAUAUUACUUCCACAUUAGGACACUAAUAUUUGAAAACUAUACCAGACUGCAUUUUGAAUGACGACUUUGUACCCAGUAUCUUCACAUGAGUUACUCUUUUGAUCCUCACAAGCCUCCAGAAGAGCUGCUUGGAAGAGAACUGCCAGAUGCUGCUGUUAAUCAAGGUUGUGAAGUUGCAUACAAAUUGAGAAGGAAAGGAGGAGGAAACAGCAUCAUAAAUUUUGGCACAAAAGUGUAAAGCUUUUAAAGACCCUCAAUAUGUCACUGCUCCUA
rnacentral:lncRNA from 1 species